GACAGAGGGUGCGAACGUUGUUCGGAAUUACUGGGCGUAAAGCGCAUGUAGGCGGCAGCGCAAGUCGGGCGUGAAAUCCCACGGCUCAACCGUGGAAGUGCACUCGAAACUGCGCAGCUAGAGUCCUGGAGAGGAAGGUGGAAUGCUUGGUGUAGAGGUGAAAUUCGUAGAUAUCAAGCGGAACACCAGUGGCGAAGGCGGCUCACUGGCCCGGAACUGACGCUGAGGUGCGAAAGCGUGGGGAGCAAACAGGG
rnacentral:rRNA from 1 species